rnacentral:rRNA from 1 species
CCCCUAGUAACUGCGAGUGAAGCGGGAAGAGCUCAAAUUUAGAAUCUGGCGGUCUUCCGGCCGUCCGAGUUGUAGUCUGGAGAAGUGUUUUCCGCGUCGGACCGUGUACAAGUCUCCUGGAACGGAGCGUCAUAGAGGGUGAGAAUCCCGUCCAUGACACGGCCUCCCGAUGCUAUGUGAUACGCUUUCGAAGAGUCGAGUUGUUUGGGAAUGCAGCUCAAAAUGGGUGGUAAAUUCCAUCUAAAGCUAAAUAUUGGCGAGAGACCGAUAGCGAACAAGUACCGUGAGGGAAAGAUGAAAAGCACUUUGGAAAGAGAGUUAAACAGUACGUGAAAUUGUUGAAAGGGAAACGCUUGAAGUCAGUCGCGUCCCUUGGAACUCAGCCUUGCUUCGGCUUGGUGUAUUCUCUGAGUGGACGGGUCAACGUCAGUUUCUGUCGACAGAGAAAGGGAGGGGGAAUGUGGCGCCGCUUCGGCGGCGUGUUAUAGCCUCCUUCCUGAUGUGUCGGUGGGGACUGAGGACCGCAGCGCGCCUUUUUGGCCGGGGGCUCGUCCCACGUACCGCGCUUAAGAUGUUGGCAUAAUGGCUUUAAGCGACCCGUCUUGAAACACGGACCAAGGAGUCUAACAUGCUUGCGAGUGUUAGGGUGGAAAACCCUUGCGCGCAAUGAAAGUGAAAGUUGGGAACCUCCGCGAGGGGGUGCACCGACGCCCGGCCCUGACGUUCUCUGACGGUGCUGCGGUAGAGCAAGUAUGCUGGGACCCGAAAGAUGGUGAACUAUGCCUGAAUAGGGCGAAGCCAGAGGAAACUCUGGUGGAGGCUCGUAGCGAUUCUGACGUGCAAAUCGAUCGUCAAAUUUGGG